ensembl:lncRNA
GAAAAUGUAAAAUGUGUAUACAUUGUAAGUCGCACAUAUGUAAGUCGCUUUGGAUAAAAGCGUCUGCUAAAUGACUAAAUGUAAACUACAACGUCUCUGUUAUCAACACAACCCCAUGCGCCAGACUCCUCCUCCGCCAGUCAAACAAACAACUUUUAGGUACAAAUACGACCAUCUUCUACGGAGUUUGGUCCGCCAUCUCUUUUUUUGGAGCUUCGCGCUCUUUAGACGUGAGCAUAAACGCGAUCUGAUUGGCUAGCGCCUGUGCUGUCAGUUAUGCAUGAAAGGCAAUUUAAAUGGCUGACGCAUGGUUGCCUCUUGAAAAGUUGAAAAUUGUUCAACUCUUGCCGCAAGCAAUGCAUGAAACGCAACGCAAUGGAACCCAACGGAGCCACAAUUCAGUUCGGCAAAGGAUGACGUCACCCCAUUCAAAGUGAAUGGGGAUCCGUCAACCUUGAUGAAGACCAGAGUUGAGUUAGUUAGUAUUUGGUUAGGCAGAUAGAGGGGACGCUCUUGUUUGUCGGAUUACAGACAGCGUGUUGACUACUGCGUUCCAUUGGUCUGGGGUUUAAAAAAAAAAAAUGGGAAGUGUGCAUCGCAGUGCCCCCGGCGUUGCCGGUGGAAAGAGUCCAUAGCAGUCUUGGGAAUGGGCUAACUGGUGGGCAUGUGUGGCCGGAUGUCCCUCCAAGUACGGUGGUGGGUUCUCCCCCUCGGUCAGUGGCAGUGACGGAGAGGGAAGAGUCUCACAUUUGUGACUCAGGCAUGUUAGUGUGUAAAUUAGUGUCUGUGCAUCAGGCAUGUUAGGAUGAAAGGUAGUGUCUGUGCAUCAGGCAUGUUAGCGUGUAAGGUAGUGUCUGUGCAUCAGGCAUGCUGGGGUGUAAGUUAGUGUCUGUGCAUUAGGCAUGUUAGUGUCAGGUUGCUGGGCAGGCUGUUUGUCUUUGUCUGUGUGUUUGUGUUGCAGAUGCCCAGCAGGUGUGGUCGGCUCGUCAGUGAUUGGGAACACCAGGGACCGGAGUUCCCAGUACUAUAACAGUACAUCCCACUGGUUCAAAGGGAGAUUCAGAC